rnacentral:lncRNA from 1 species
AUGCUCUUGAACUUGAGGAACUCUUGUAACAAUGGUAAUUGGUGUUUCUAGGAGGUGACUUGGAUUGCUUCCUCUUGUUGUAUUCGUCUAUCCUGGCUUUGGUCAUUUUCAUUUGUUUAUGCAUCCCGUUAAUAUAUGAAUUUGCAGGACUAUGCGUCCUACGUCUUCUUGAUGGUGUGUGAUUGCAAUAGUCACAUGCUUUUAUGCAUCCUAUGUGACUAGAGUGCGGACAUGCCUGUGUGGUAAGGCGUCAUGUUGACGUGACUGUGAUCGUUAUUCUCUCGAUGGGGGAAUCAUGGGGAUUCCUGUUCAUUCUAGUGGUUUUGUUACUAACCCUGCUUUGGUGAUUUUGUCAUUCUGGGAAUUCUCUGAUGGGAUUUGGCUCCUCGUUUGAGCCGAGUUAUGACCUACUCCCUCUGGUU